GCCAGCAGCCAUAUCACCCUGCAGCUCUCAACUGGCUAUCUGCUAAAGCUCACCAGGUGUGAGCCUGGUCAGUACCUGGAUGGGAGACCUCAUGGGAAGCUAUGGUUACUGCUGGAA
rnacentral:rRNA from 1 species